CCUACGGGAGGCAGCAGUGGGGAAUAUUGGGCAAUGGAGGAAACUCUGACCCAGCAACGCCGCGUGAAUGAUGAAGGUCUUCGGAUUGUAAAGUUCUUUUCUAAGGGAAGAAGAAAGUGACGGUACCUUAUGAAUAAGCCUCGGCUAACUACGUGCCAGCAGCCGCGGUAAUACGUAGGAGGCAAGCGUUAUCCGGAAUGACUGGGCGUAAAGGGUGCGUAGGUGGUUUGACAAGUUGGUAGCGUAACUCCGGGGCUCAACCUCGGCACUACUACCAAAACUGUCGGACUUGAGUGCAGGAGGGGCAAAUGGAAUUCCUAGUGUAGCGGUGGAAUGCGUAGAUAUUAGGAGGAACACCAGUGGCGAAGGCGAUUUGCUAGACUGUAACUGACACUGAGGCACGAAAGCGUGGGGAGCAAACAGGAUUAGAUACCCCGGUAGUC
rnacentral:rRNA from 1 species